rnacentral:tRNA from 1 species
GCCCCCGUAGCUCAACGGAUGAGAGCACGUGACUACGAAUCAUGAGAUGUCAGUUCGAUUCUGGCCGGGGGUA